ACGGGUGAGUAACACGUGGGUAACCUGCCCAAGAGACUGGGAUAACACCUGGAAACAGAUGCUAAUACCGGAUAACAACACUAGACGCAUGUCUAGAGUUUAAAAGAUGGUUCUGCUAUCACUCUUGGAUGGACCUGCGGCGCAUUAGCUAGUUGGUAAGGUAACGGCUUACCAAGGCAAUGAUGCAUAGCCGAGUUGAGAGACUGAUCGGCCACAUUGGGACUGAGACACGGCCCAAACUCCUACGGGAGGCAGCAGUAGGGAAUCUUCCACAAUGGACGCAAGUCUGAUGGAGCAACGCCGCGUGAGUGAAGAAGGGUUUCGGCUCGUAAAGCUCUGUUGGUAGUGAAGAAAGAUAGAGGUAGUAACUGGCCUUUAUUUGACGGUAAUUACCUAGAAAGUCACGGCUAACUACGUGCCAGCAGCCGCGGUAAUACGUAGGUGGCAAGCGUUGUCCGGAUUUAUUGGGCGUAAAGCGAGUGCAGGCGGUUCAAUAAGUCUGAUGUGAAAGCCUUCGGCUCAACCGGAGAAUUGCAUCAGAAACUGUUGAACUUGAGUGCAGAAGAGGAGAGUGGAACUCCAUGUGUAGCGGUGGAAUGCGUAGAUAUAUGGAAGAACACCAGUGGCGAAGGCGGCUCUCUGGUCUGCAACUGACGCUGAGGCUCAAAAGCAUGGGUAGCGAACAGGAUUAGAUACCCUGGUAGUCCAUGCCGUAAACGAUGAGUGCUAAGUGUUGGGAGGUUUCCGCCUCUCAGUGCUGCAGCUAACG
rnacentral:rRNA from 1 species